UACACGACCGUACCGCAAACCGACACUGGUGCGCGAGAUGAGUAUUCUAAGGCGCUUGAGAGAACUCAGGAGAAGGAACUCGGCAAAUUGACACCGUAACUUCGGAAGAAGGUGUGCCUUUAGUAGGUGAACCAUUUACUUGGGGAGCCCAAUGAGGCUGCAAAAAAUCGGUGGCUGCAACUGUUUAUUAAAAACACAGCACUCUGCUAAGACGAAAGUCGACGUAUAGGGUGUGACGCCUGCCCGGUGCUGGAAGAUUAAGUGAUGAGGUGCAAGCUCUUGAUUGAAGUCCCAGUAAACGGCGGCCGUAACUAUAACGGUCCUAAGGUAGCGAAAUUCCUUGUCGGGUAAGUUCCGACCUGCACGAAUGGCGUAAUGAUGGCCACACUGUCUCCUCCUGAGACUCAGCGAAGUUGAAAUGUUUGUGAUGAUGCAAUCUCCCCGCGGAAAGACGGAAAGACCCCAUGAACCUUUACUGUAGCUUUGUAUUGGACUUUGAACAGAUCUGUGUAGGAUAGGUGGGAGGCUUUGAAGUGUGGUCGCUAGAUCGCAUGGAGCCAACGUUGAAAUACCACCCUGGUGUGUUUGAGGUUCUAACCUAGGUCCAUUAUCUGGAUCGGGGACAGUGCAUGGUAGGCAGUUUGACUGGGGCGGUCUCCUCCCAAAGUGUAACGGAGGAGUUCGAAGGUACGCUAGGUACGGUCGGACAUCGUGCUAAUAGUGCAAUGGCAUAAGCGUGCUUAACUGCGAGACUGACAAGUCGAGCAGAUGCGAAAGCAGGACAUAGUGAUCCGGUGGUUCUGUAUGGAAGGGCCAUCGCUCAACGGAUAAAAGGUACUCUGGGGAUAACAGGCUGAUACCGCCCAAGAGUUCAUAUCGACGGCGGUGUUUGGCACCUCGAUGUCGGCUCAUCUCAUCCUGGGGCUGUAGCCGGUCCCAAGGGUAUGGCUGUUCGCCAUUUAAAGAGGUACGUGAGCUGGGUUUAAAACGUCGUGAGACAGUUUGGUCCCUAUCUUCCGUGGGCGCUGCAGAUUUGAGGAAGCCUGCUCCUAGUACGAGAGGACCGGAGUGGACGAACCUCUGGUGUAUCGGUUGUCACGCCAGUGGCAUUGCCGAGUAGCUAAGUUCGGAAGAGAUAACCGCUGAAAGCAUCUAAGCGGGAAACUCGUUUCAAGAUUAGAUCUGCCGGGGCCUUGAGCCCCCUAAAGAGUCGUUCAAGACCAGGACGUUGAUAGGUCAGGUGUGGAAGCG
rnacentral:rRNA from 1 species